AGAAUCAACGCUGGCGGCGUGCCUCAGACAUGCAAGUCGAACGCGAAAGUCCCCUUCGGGGGAUAAGUAGAGUGGCGCACGGGUGAGUAACACGUAGGCAAUCUACCUUCGGGUGGGGAAUAACCCAGGGAAACUUGGGCUAACACCGCAUAAUGCAGCGGCACCACAUGGUGACAGUUGUUAAAGCGGGGGAUUUUAGGACCUCGCGCCUGAAGAGGAGCCUGCGGCAGAUUAGCUAGUUGGUAAGGUAACGGCUUACCAAGGCGACGAUCU
rnacentral:rRNA from 1 species